rnacentral:rRNA from 1 species
UACGUAGGGUGCGAGCGUUAAUCGGAAUUACUGGGCGUAAAGCGCGCGCAGGCGGUUUUGUAAGCCAGAUGUGAAAUCCCCGGGCUUAACCUGGGAAUGGCAUUUGGGACUGCAAGGCUUGAGUGCGGCAGAGGAGACUGGAAUUCCCGGUGUAGCAGUGAAAUGCGUAGAUAUCGGGAGGAAUACCGAUGGCGAAGGCAGGUCUCUGGGCUGACACUGACGCUCAUGCACGAAAGCGUGGGGAGCAAACAGG